rnacentral:rRNA from 1 species
GACGAACGCUGGCGGCGUGCUUAACACAUGCAAGUCGAACGGAAAGGCCCUGCUUUUGUGGGGUGCUCGAGUGGCGAACGGGUGAGUAACACGUGAGUAACCUGCCCUUGACUUUGGGAUAACUUCAGGAAACUGGGGCUAAUACCGGAUAGGAGCUCCUGCUGCAUGGUGGGGGUUGGAAAGUUUCGGCGGUUGGGGAUGGACUCGCGGCUUAUCAGCUUGUUGGUGGGGUAGUGGCUUACCAAGGCUUUGACGGGUAGCCGGCCUGAGAGGGUGACCGGCCAAAUUGGGACUUAGAUACGGCCCAGACUCCUACGGGAGGCAGCAGUGGGGAAUAUUGCACAAUGGGCGGAAGCCUGAUGCAGCAACGCCGCGUGCGGGAUGACGGCCUUCGGGUUGUAAACCGCUUUCGCCUGUGACGAAGCGUGAGUGACGGUAAUGGGUAAAGAAGCACCGGCUAACUACGUG